GACGAACGCUGGCGGCGUGCCUAAUACAUGCAAGUAGAACGCUGAAGAGAGGAGCUUGCUCUUCUUGGAUGAGUUGCGAACGGGUGAGUAACGCGUAGGUAACCUGCCUUGUAGCGGGGGAUAACUAUUGGAAACGAUAGCUAAUACCGCAUAACAAUGGAUGACACAUGUCAUUUAUUUGAAAGGGGCAAUUGCUCCACUACAAGAUGGACCUGCGUUGUAUUAGCUAGUAGGUGAGGUAAUGGCUCACCUAGGCGACGAUACAUAGCCGACCUGAGAGGGGGAUCGGCCACACUGGGACUGGGGCACGGCCCAGACUCCUACGGGAGGCAGCAGUAGGGAAUCUUCGGCAAUGGGGGCAACCCUGACCGAGCAACGCCGCGUGAGUGAAGAAGGUUUUCGGAUCGUAAAGCUCUGUUGUAAGUCAAGAACGGGUGUGAGAGUGGAAAGUUCACACUGUGACGGUAGCUUAACAGAAAGGGACGGCUAACUACGUG
rnacentral:rRNA from 1 species